rnacentral:rRNA from 1 species
UACGUAGGGUGCAAGCGUUAAUCGGAAUUACUGGGCGUAGAGCGUGCGCAGGCGGUUGUGCAAGACAGAUGUGAAAUCCCCGGGCUCAACCUGGGAAUUGCAUUUGUGACUGCACGGCUAGAGUGUGUCAGAGGGGGGUAGAAUUCCACGUGUAGCAGUGAAAUGCGUAGAGAUGUGGAGGAAUACCGAUGGCGAAGGCAGCCCCCUGGGAUAACACUGACGCUCAUGCACGAAAGCGUGGGGAGCAAACAGG